GUCAGCUCGUGCCGUGAGGUGUCGGGGUUAAGUCCCAUAACGAGCGCAAACCCCCUACUGCUAGUUGCCAGCGGGUCAUGCCGGGGACUCUAGCGGAACUGCCAGCGUAAGCUGCGAGGAAGGUGGGGAUGACGUCAAAUCAGCACGGCCCUUACGUCCAGGGCUACACACGUGUUACAAUGGCCAGUACAGAGGGCAGCCACCCCGCGAGGGGGCGCUAAUCCUAAAAGCUGGUCCCAGUUCGGAUCGGAGUCUGCAACCCGACUCCGUGAAGCUGGAUUCGCUAGUAAUCGCGCAUCAGCCACGGCGCGGUGAAUACGUUCCGGGCCUU
rnacentral:rRNA from 1 species